CCCUCUCCCGAGCAAUCAGAAACCACUACAUACUCGACUUCUUUGUUGGUACCUUCCAGGACCUCCCCCCCCCGGAUUUAUCCCCCUAAGAAUCGGCCCGCGUUGGAUCCCCUAAUUGUUGAUGCUGAGGCUUGCCAAGGUGUGGAUCCAUAGCUGUUUUGAGAUGAUGAUCAUCCACACUGGCACUGAGAUACGGCCCAAACUCCUACUGGAGGAAACAAUGUUUAAUAUUGAACAAUGUUAGCCCCUCUGAUCUUUUCAUGACGGGUGAGUGAUGUAGGACCUAGGCUUGUAUAGCUCUUUCUCCGGUGAAGAUAAUGACGCUAACCGUUCAAGAAGCCCCGGAUAACUUCGUGCCAGCCGCCGAGUUUAUACGAAGGGGGCCAGCCCCGUUCGGAUUUACUGGGCGUAAAGUGCAUGUAGGCGGACUUUUAAGUCCCGUUUGAAAUCACGGAGCUCAACCCCGGAACUGCCUCUGAUACUGGUAGUCUUGAGUAUGUUAUAGGUGAGCGGAAUUCCGAGUGUAUAUUCGAAAUUCGAAUAUAUUUGGAUGACCCCCCGUGUCGAAGGUGGAUCACUGGACCAUUACUGACGCUGAGGUGCGAAAGCGUGGGGAGCAAACAGGAUUAGAUACCCUGGUAGUCCACGCCCGUAAACGAUGAAUGUUAGCCGUUGGGGAGUUUACUCUUCGGGGCGCAGCUAACGCAUUAAACAUUCCGCCUGGGGAGUACGGCGCAAGAUUAAACUCAAAGGAUUGACGGGGGCCCGCACAAGCGGUGCAGCAUGUGGUUUAAUUCGAAGCAACGCGCAGAACCUUACCAGCCCUUGACAUACCGGUCGCGGACACAGAGAUGUGUCUUUCAGUUCGGCUGGACCGAAUACAGGUGCUGCAUGCUGUCGUCAGUUCGUGUCGUGAGAUGUGGUUUAGUCCCGCACGGAGCGCCACCCUCCGCCCUUAGCUGCCCGCUUCAGUUGGGACAUCUA
rnacentral:rRNA from 2 species